UACGUAGGGUGCGAGCGUUACUCGGAAUUACUGGGCGUAAAGCGUGCGCAGGCGGUUCGUUAAGUUCGUUGUGAAAGCCCCGGGCUCAACCUGGGAACUGCAAUGGAAACUGGCGGGCUUGAGUGUGGCAGAGGGGAGUGGAAUUCCGCGUGUAGCAGUGAAAUGCGUAGAGAUGCGGAGGAACACCGAUGGCGAAGGCAGCCCCCUGGGCCAACACUGACGCUCAGGCACGAAAGCGUGGGGAGCAAACAGG
rnacentral:rRNA from 1 species